GGCGGAAAAGCGCGCGAGCAAGAUGGCCACCACCAAGCGCGUCUUGUACGUGGGUGGACUGGCAGAGGAAGUGGACGACAAAGUUCUUCAUGCUGCGUUCAUUCCUUUUGGAGACAUCACAGAUAUUCAGAUUCCUCUGGAUUAUGAAACAGAAAAGCACCGAGGAUUUGCUUUUGUUGAAUUUGAGUUGGCAGAGGAUGCUGCAGCAGCUAUCGACAACAUGGUAUGGCUGGGAAUCUUAAUUCUAACUAAAGUUGCUUUUUGGUGGUACAGAGGCUCCUUAUUCAUAUAUCAGUGUUCUGGACUUCCAAAGUUACAAGGUUGCAUGGGGAGGUAAAAAUUGUCACGUGAAAAUAUUCACUGUGAAUUGAUCACUUAUAAAAUUAGUUCUUACUCAGACUCCUUCGCCAUUUCAGAAUAAUGUAAGUCCUCAUCAUCCUUGUUGACCAGUCUCUCACUGGCUCUCCCAUGUUUAGGAUAAUUUGCAGACACAGUGCAAAUUGAUUGCACAGUGUAACCGCAUAUUUUGCAAAAUAGCAGGAUUUCAUGAAGUGUUAGACCAAUUUACAAUUGAGAAGAGAAAUUUAACUAUGGCAGGUGCAAAUCACUGAUACAAAUGAUUUGGAUAUUCUGGAAAGGUCCUUGGGAAAAAUGAUGAUGCUCUUUAGUAUUUGUGCCCUCCUUGAGAUCCUUUUAGUUUUCAUGUCUGAUAAGAAGUGCAAAGAUACCAUACUGUUGAUAGAAUUUUGUUGGAAAAAUAAUACUUCAGUGCCUGUUACUUUU
rnacentral:sRNA from 1 species